rnacentral:tRNA from 1 species
GUUUAAAUAGUUUAUGAAAAUAUUGAUUUGUGGUGUCAAAGAUAUGAAUUGAUUCAUUUUAGACC